AAGCCAGGCUCGAGCUUUCAGGCUCAAAAUGAGGCCGGCGCCACCAGCGCCGGCCUUUUUUUGUUCGGUU
rnacentral:sRNA from 1 species